rnacentral:lncRNA from 1 species
GAGGAAGAAAACAAUGUAUUUCUCAAGCAGAGCCUGUCUCAUGAGAGGUUUUCUUAUUUACUUUCAAUUCAUUUUCCGUUUUGUUUCUUCUUUGUAUCUUUGUGAAAAGUCAGUCAGGGGGUAGGAACUUGGUUUUCUUUUAUUGGCUAACAAUAUACAGUUUGUAAUUUGUUGUUUUAAUGUUGUUCCGAAAGAUGAGAAACAAGUUCUCUUUAGGGACAUCCGAUAAAAUUGGAACGAUACAGAAAACAAGAAGUCCAUGGAAUUGCAUAUCUAGUCCCUUAUGUCACUUCUGGGUUAAUGAUGCAAAACAAGACCCCCAAGCAACAUCAGAAGAACAAUUCUGCAAACAAAUGUUAUGCAUAUUCAGCCUUGCAUAGGAAAUCAUGUCACACAUUCUGGUUAUAUAAAACACCAACAAAUAUUUUUUUUUAUCAAAUGAAUGCGUAUAUUAUAAUAUUAUCAUAAAAUAAACGUUGAUUAGUUGAUUUUUUUUCAUAAAUAGCUCCCAUCAAGAUAAAUAGUAAAUACAAAUAAGCUAUAAUUGAUUUUUUUUUCAUAAAUAGUCCCAACAAGAUAAAUAACAAACACAAUGAAGCUAAACAUGGACUCAGAUGAUUGAGAUUGAUCUCGACACUAUCUGGAAGAUAUGAAAAAGCACGAUACACCAUAAAGUGGGCAACUUCUUGUGUUGACCGAUAAACAACCUACACCUGGAUCCGAGGACAUGCUCUCAAAAAAGUAAGGAUCUCCAUAAUGUCACGACCGUACAAUAAGUAAUCUGUGGGAAAGCAGGAGAGAACCCACUUUGUAUCAGUUUCUAUGUCCACCUGCCAAACUUCUUGAAGAAAGCACCACAAAUACGCAUUUCAAACCGUCAGGAGCUCUGAAAAAUGUGUAUAUAUAUAAGUUAAGUUUUAGGUGUGCCGCCAUAUCCUACGGUCUGUAGAGAAGAUGGAAUACAGCGGAUGAACACUACUACACUAGUGACUUCACUUCCCCUUGGUAGUGGUGGUAUACUGUAGGUGUUUAGCGACGACCUUAGUUGAUGCGCAAUUCAUCAUUUGCCUUUGCACUUUUUGCCAUGUGCCUCAA